rnacentral:misc_RNA from 1 species
UCCGGUUUGUCACCGGCAGUCUCACAUGAGUCCCCAACUAAAUGCUGGCAACAUGCGACGGGGGUUGCGCUCGUUGCGGGACUUAACCCAACAUCUCACGACACGAGCUGACGACAGCCAUGCACCACCUGUGAUCCUGCCCCGAAGGGAAGCGUUGUUUCCAACGCGGUCAGGAACAUGUCAAGCCCAGGUAAGGUUCUUCGCGUUGCGUCGAAUUAAACCACAUGCUCCGCUGCUUGUGCGGGUCCCCGUCAAUUCCUUUGAGUUUUAGCCUUGCGGCCGUACUCCCCAGGCGGGGCACUUAAUGCGUUAGCUUCGGCACGGAGGGAGUCGACACCCCCCACACCUAGUGCCCAUCGUUUACAGCGUGGACUAC